GAAACUUCCUUCUUCAGUAUGUAUGGGGAUUUAUAUGACACCAAAAGAGAAGUCCGGCGUGUUUCUUGGUUCUAUGGAACCCCUCGACCGGAAGCAAAUAGAUCACAUCGCAAGUUGCUUGCCCAAUAUAAUCGUGCCGCAAGUUACCAGCAUCGCGUGCUUAUACACCAUCGACUUUGCUGGAAAUCUAUCUGUCCGUGCUCCACCGUCUGUCGGAACUUCUUCUGCCCAUGCUACACCUGAGCUCAACACUGCAUCGCCCGGUUCGUUUGCUUGCUUCCUUUGCUUGGCUCAGGAAGGAGAAGGCCAGGACUAGCGACAAGAACCUAAGAGUCUUUGCGUCACGGCCUUUGCCCAGAAGGCGAAGAACUAAAACUAAUUUUUUUACCUUCCAAAAAAUUACAUGAUACAUAACUACUCCCUCCGUCCAGAAAUACUUGUCAUCAAAAUGGACAAAAGAAGACAUAUCUAGACGUAUUUUAGUUCUAGAUACAUUCCAGUUUGUCCAUUUUGAUGACAAGUAUUUUCGGGCGGAGGGAGUAUUAUUAGACUUUAGAUCUCACAACCAUUAUAAUCUAGACCAAUUGAUCUUUGCCCCGUUUUUUCUGGUAUGUAUACUACAAAUCUAUUUUCCAAUCCAAGUACACAAAGUUUUUUUUUAAAGAGCUGAGUAAGUUAUAAGAAA